rnacentral:lncRNA from 1 species
CUUGGUCUAAUAGCAUUGAACAAAAGUUACUGGAUAUUCUCACAUGAAUAAGAACUAAAGUACAAAGUUAUUUCCUCGUAUAUCAUCAUAAAACUUACCUCCAAAACAUUUCUACUUGGCAGCAUAAAAUCUAGCCAUAUAUUUAUGAAAAAAAUCACCUACAUAACUAUUAAAGUAUAAGUCAGCCUCUAUAAGCUUUCUAGCAUUAAACAAAUAAAGUAUGAGUUGUAAUCCAGCCCAAUGAUCCGCAGAAGUUAAACUUGCACCAGCUAAAAGCUAAUAACAACACUGGAAACUGAAGUAGAGGAAAUGAACUAUAAAAUAUAAACUAAUAAUUAGUUAAAUAAACCAAGCCAGCGCCCAUAAUCUUCUGGAGCUAAUUUCAAGCAAAAGAAGCAACAAGAAAAUGCCAAAACUUGAACCGAAAAAAUAAAAUUUAUAUACUAUCAGCUUACUUCAUCUCAUUUCUUAGGUAGUUAUUCAAAAUUUUUAAGGCAUAAAUUCUAGUAGUAUCAUAUCAAGUAAGAACUGCAAGAGAAUCACCUCUUACAAUAAGAAUGCCAAGGACCCUUAUUAUUUAUGUAUAUUAUUGUACUGAUAUUUCUAUAAACAAUAGUCCUAGGAAUAAGAAAAUACAUAACCAAUCAAUUUAAAACUAAAAGCAUCAAUUUAUGUAAACUGUGAGUUUAAAGUUGUAUCUCAAGUUUAUACCUACUUGAGCAAUAUAGCAGUUGUCAUUGAGCCAACCAUGUUUAUUGUUCUCAAUGCUACCACUUCUUUGCUUCAAUCCAACUGAUAUUCAAAGCUGCAAAUGUUCUUCAAUUGGUGUAGCUUCCAUUAAGAAGCAUGUUAUAUAAAUAUUAAGUUUCUCCGGAAAAAAUGCCUAGCCAAGAAACGAGGUAAGAAGCAUAACUUACUCCUCAAUGCUAUAAAAACAGCCCAUCAAUACUAAAACCUUUGCACUGGUAGAGGAUGUAUCCCUCGAUGGAUUUACAUCACCUUGACAUUAUAAUUAAAUUGAAUGUAAGGUACAAACGAAGAAAAUUGUUAACCGAUAAAAUAAGAAUCAUUUUAGUUGCUUGUAAUUAAAUACAUGCUUUCUUAUUAUUAAAUUCAACUAUAUAAAGCAAAACUGAAGAGCAGGGCAUACAACAUCAAAAACCUAGAACUAGCAAAAGUUGCAAAAAAAAAAAAAAAAAGAAGUUCCAUUUUUUACCUUGUGCAAAUGAAAAGUACUAAACUAGAACUCACAGGGUAAAAUACUAUAAACAUAUCCAUUACAUGAAUUGAUACAGAAUCACCAUGCUUCUUUGAGCCAAACAGGUCAUGUGUGAUAUGACAAAGUUACUUCUUAAUAUGAUCUGUAGCACUUACUCUGACUAGUCAUCGAAUAACUUUUAUAAUGACAAGACAUGUUUAGAUACGUUACAUAAGGCUCCAAAAAGACAAAGGCAGAACUGCUAGCCAAAGUUUAAUGUAAUACUUUACUUAAUGUAAGACGAUGAUAACUCGCCAAGCUUGUUUUCUGAAAUAAAAGAUAGUUGUGCACAAGGAUAGAAAGAAGUUGGUCUGUUACAGGAUAAGAGUGACAAGAGAUAUGUGUUGUAAUUUAUAAGAAAUUGUCGCCAUUAUCGGUCCAGUAAUCUUUGUUAAUAUUGGUCCAGCAAUCAAUUCAUAGUUAAAGUUGCUCAAAAGUACUAUUAAAACAACUUCUGAUAAACAAACUUCAAAUACAUUUGUAGAAGUAAACAAACCACAAGGGGUGCUUUACCAUGGCGAUUAGCUCAAAUCCUGGAUGAUCGGUUCAUUGCGUUAGAAUGCCAUUUGGUUCAGUGGGUAAAUGUCUACAACAAUCACCUAAAGUUCAUGUAAUUGUACUCAUAUUUCCAACCGUCCCUGAUGUACAAGGAUGCAGUAGUUGCAUACAUACAACAGAACUCAUUUGAUGUCCUUUCUAAUUAAAGACCAAAAUAUUCUCAAAAUUUACAAAACAAUUACUUAGAAUCUUCUUGCAGUGUAUAAAAUUAGCCAUCCAAAGAAUAUAAUCAUCAAACCCCAUAAAAGGGGAAAAAUAACAAGACAGACAAAAUAGAAAGAGUGCAUUGCGUUGUACCCGACAUCCUAAGCACACAAUCCAUCCAAUUACGUACAGACAACCCCCAUCAACCAUAAAAGACAAGAGAUCUGUCGAACACCACCUACUACAAAUAGACAACCUCUAACUAUAGACUCUUUUUCUCAAAAGCACAUUCAUUUCCCCGCAGAAAUGACUCUUAAAAGGGUAAGAUUUUCAAUUGGACCUCGAAAUAAAGGAAUAUAUAAAACAAUUGAAACAAUAUAUAACUCAAAUACUUGUAACUAUAUAGAUCCAAAAGCAUAUCGAAAACAAUUCUGGUUAGGAACCCUAUAUCGGAAAGUAAAAGACAAUAUAGAGCAUAUAGAAGUAAGAAAGAGGAUGAAAAAGUACCAACCGUUGUUCUUCGGAUUGCGCUCUACCAGCUCCGUAGAGAAGGUGAAGAGAGGAUCAAGCCCUGCUAAAAGAUUUGUGAGAGAGGGAACUAACUGUACAAUUUGAAACAAGGGGAAAAAGAGAGGGAAUUUUGCCC